AACGGCUGGCGGCGUGCCUAACACAUGCAAGUCGAGCGAUGAAAUCCUUCGGGAUGGGAUUAGCGGCGGACGGGUGAGUAACACGUGGGUAACCUGCCUUGUAGAGGGGGAUAGCCUUCCGAAAGGAAGAUUAAUACCGCAUAACAUCUUUUUAUCGCAUGGUAGAAAGAUCAAAGGAGCAAUCCGCUACAAGAUGGACCCGCGGCGCAUUAGCUAGUUGGUGAGGUAACGGCUCACCCAAGGCGACGAUGCGUAGCCGACCUGAGAGGGUGGUCGGCCACAUUGGAACUGAGACACGGUCCAGACUCCUACGGGAGGCAGCAGUGGGGAAUAUUGCGCAAUGGGGGAAACCCUGACGCAGCAACGCCGCGUGAAUGAAGAAGGCCUUAGGGUUGUAAAGUUCUGUUUACGGGGACGAUAAUGACGGUACCCGUGGAGGAAGCCACGGCUAACUACGUGCCAGCAGCUGC
rnacentral:rRNA from 1 species